CUUUAGCCGCUGUGAAAUAACCUGGAGCAAACUUGUGCGGCUGCGGAAUUCUUAGUCCCAAGCAUAGCCCGAGCCUUUACCUGGAAAGUUCAGGCGGUGUUCCUGGUGGCCCCCUUAGCUGUUGUUCAAAGUAGCCACUUCCAGCUUUGACAUUGCACCAAACCGUGGCACCUGGAUCUUUCAUUGGGCUAUAAUAGACACUCCCGAAUCAACAGUGCUACACAGUCGGUGGCGAAGCUAUCACCGAAUAGUUAUCGCCAUGUUUAUUGUCUUGGCAGAGCAAUGAUUUCCACUAACUUGUCCAUAAGAGUUGUAUAAAACAUCACAGCUAUGGAGUUCCUUGGACAAGAACUCGUUAUGGAAAAGGACAAAAAAGGCAGUGUGUCUUCCUGUGCACCAUUGCCUACCUCAUAACACAAAUUUCGAUUCAUACCUUGGCUGGCAGAAGCAGGAGUCCAAGG